rnacentral:rRNA from 1 species
CCUACGGGAGGCAGCAGUGAGGAAUUUUCGUCAAUGGACGAGAGUCUGAACCAGCCAAGUAGCGUGAAGGAUGACUGCCCUAUGGGUUGUAAACUUCUUUUAUAUGGGAAUAAAAUGUUCCACGUGAGGGAAUUUGUAUGUAUAUUAUGAUUCAGGAUCGUCUAAAUACGUUCCAGCAGCCGCGGUAAUACGGAGGAUCCGUGCGUUGUCCGGUCUUAUUGGGUUGAAAGGGAGGGUUGGUGGGUUGUUAAGUCAGUUGUGAAAGUUUGCGGCUCAACCGUAAAAAUGCAGUGGAAACUGGCGGGCUAGAGAGCAGGAGAGGUGGGUGGAAUUCGAGGUGUAGCGGUAAAAUGCUUAGAUAUAACGAAGAACUCCAGUGGCGAAGGCAGUUGACUGGACUGCUACUGACACUGAGGCUCGAAAGUGUGGGUAGCAAACAGGAUUAGAUACCCUAGUAGUC